rnacentral:pre_miRNA from 1 species
AUAGUACUCCCUCCGUCCGGAAAUACUUGUCGGACAAGUGGAUGUAUCUAGAUGUAUUUUAGUUGUAGAUACAUCUAUUUUUAUUCAUUUCUUCGACAAGUAUUUUGGAACGAAGGGAGUAUACA